rnacentral:lncRNA from 1 species
GCACGCAGGCGCGCUGGGAGGGACUGGGCGGGUCGCGCUGGGAUGGAGUCGGGAGGAAACUGCAAUCAAGUGUUUUAAUUGUGAACAGCCAGGCAGUCCUGUUAUAUAAUUAGAGAUUUCUCCAAAUUACCUUGUGACCUUGGACACCAUCAUCAAUGUCAAAUUUAAGAAGAGAUUAAAGGGACUAAAUAUAGGGCCAAGUCAAGAAGACAAAGCAAAACAGAUACAGUGUAUGAAAAACAUAAUAUGAAACCCACAGCAAAUAUUCACCGAGGACUUAUGUGUCAAAUGUGGCAUUAUGACCAAACAUGGAGAGGAGAAUAAAUUCCUGGAGAGAGGUCAAACUCCAUAUUAUGUAGAAAUGAUACAGGAAUUUCAUUGUAUAUACAAAACAAACAGAAGAUUCAUCUACUGCCUAAUAUUAUUCUUGUCAAAUUGCAUGGAACCUAAUUGCUGUAACCACAGAACAGAUAUUGUGAAAUUAAGCCUUAGUUUCACUGUUUGGUUCACCUUUGCCUUGUGAGUUCCUUAGAAGAAUGGAUCACUCUAUAUUUUUUUGAACAGAUGCUUCAUUAUGGAAGGUGAGUAGCUCAGUUACAUAGUCAUUUCACCUUUUCCCCCAUGUCUGGCAGUUAUUGUGGGCUGUUAAACAGCCUUAAUAGAAGAUGAAAACAGCCUCUAGCUCUAAGGGCAUGAGAACUUUUUUUUUCAUUGGUCUCAGUAUCUUCAUGGUUCGUUAAAUACAAUGCAGAGUCAUUUUACUGCAGCUAGUGGACCCCAGAAGGACCUGACAGUUAAAUGAAAGUUGUCAGUCUUCUUUCUGUUCGAACUAGAUUGGGUAUUAAAAGGCCACAACCUGGAAACGAGGACCAGGACUGAGAUCAAUGUGCCAAGCAAAUAAAAGAAAUGUAAUGAGUUCUUGAGAAAAGCA